AAGUCGUAACAAGGUAACCGUAGGUGAACCUGCGGUUGGAUCAUUAAAAAAUUUUAAUAGCCUCUCAUUGUGAAAGCAAUGAAUGUUGGCAUUACAUUUUGUGCACUGUAACGUCUUUGGUGGUUGGGCGGUUUGUCUUUUUGUGACACUCUCGUCUGUCAGCUUGGAUUUAUCAUGAUCCUCGCCGUGGACACGCCACCGUUUGUAUUUCAACUUAUGUUUUCAUGAAUUGUCUGACAAAUACCUGUAUUGAAAAUAUACAAACAACUUUUGGCAACGGAUCUCUUGGUUCUC
rnacentral:misc_RNA from 1 species